rnacentral:lncRNA from 1 species
GUCUCUGCCCUCCUAGUGCUUGGCAUAGUAAAUAUUUACAUCAGUUGAAAGCCAGUGCCCUAAGGAAGGUUGUGGGGGGAAGGGAAGAGCCAUCCAAAAUUAUCUUCUCUGUGUGUGCAGGAAAGUCCAAGAGUUCGUGAAGAUGUUUAACUACCGGAAGGUCCGCUCGCCGUUGGUGGAGUGCAGACAGGCACAGCGCAUGGGAAAACCGGCAGGAUCUACCGAAGCUGAUCAUCCUACCUGUACCCUGGGACCCGUUUCUCUCCAGCAGAAUGUGCACAUCAGCCCUGUUUAUAAUGGCUUCAAAACUGCCUCCAUCUACGGCAGGCUGGAUAAUACAUUGUGUGUGUUCACAACACAGAAACCACCACAGACAGCAAGGAGAAUGGAUGAUCCACAGCUCCUCACAACAACAUGAAUGAAUCGCACAAGGUGAGAAAAUGGAGGUCCACUUGGCCAUGGUGAAGAGGUCACAUCGAUGGCAGAUGGAGUUUCACUCUUGUCGCCAAG